ensembl:lncRNA
CACCGCGGCGGGAACCGCCACCCCUGCCUGAAGCGGGGAGCCAUGUUCAUACCCGUUCCCGCCAGAAAACGGCGCCACUAUUCCAAGCAUCCCCUCAGGGGGCAAAGAGCCGAACUGCCCGGAGCCGGGCACUCCCACCCGCUCCCAUCAUCAAAGCACUAUGGCUGCCCGGAGAUAAAAUGUAUGUGGCCUGGGUACAAGAUCACGUCAUUAUGCCACAUGUGUCAUGUGGAGUGUGGGAGCAGCAUGUACCAUAUUACGACACAGCAGUUGAGACUAGCUACAGAAGGCCACUGCAUCAAAAAAUCUAAAAGACAGUGCAUCUCAGAUACUGUGGACUGGAUGGAGAAGUUGCUAG